rnacentral:tRNA from 1 species
UUAAGUGGAAGUAGGAAAUAAUAUAGGGGAAGUAUGGGGAGUUUUGAUCUCCCUUGUGUAGGUUCGACUCCUACUUUUCUAA